GGAGAUGUGGCUCAGAGGUUAAGAGCACUGUCUGCUCUUCCAGAGGUCCUGAAUUCAAUUCCUGGGUUCAAUUCCCAGCACCCACA
rnacentral:tRNA from 1 species